AUAUAAUCUAGAUUAAACAAUCUCAGUGUAACAAUACCAGUAAUUGACCCAUCUCUUGAUCAACGGAACAAGUUACCCCAGGGAUAACAGCGCAAUCCUAUUUGAGAGCCCAUAUCGAAAAUUAGGGUUUACAACCCCAAUGUUGGAUUAGGACAUCCAAAUGGUGCAACCGCUAUUAAAGGUUCGUUUGUUCAACAAUUAAAGUCCUAUGUGAUCUGAGUUCAGACCAGAGAAAUCCAGGUCGGUUUCUAUCUGUAAAUUUAUUU
rnacentral:ncRNA from 1 species